GCGCCUGUAGCUCAUUUGGAUAGAGCAUCGGAUUUCUAAUCCGAGGGUAGUAGGUUCGAGUCCUACCAGGCGUGCCA
rnacentral:tRNA from 2 species